rnacentral:rRNA from 1 species
CAGUCGCCGCGGUAAUACGUAGGGUGCAAGCGUUAAUCGGAAUUACUGGGCGUAAAGCGUGCGCAGGCCGUUAUAUAAGACAGAUGUGAAAUCCCCGGGCUCAACCUGGGAACUGCAUUUGUGACUGUAUAGCUAGAGUACGGCAGAGGGGGAUGGAAUUCCGCGUGUAGCAGUGAAAUGCGUAGAUAUGCGGAGGAACACCGAUGGCGAAGGCAAUCCCCUGGGCCUGUACUGACGCUCAUGCACGAAAGCGUGGGGAGCAAACAGGAUUAGAUACCCCAGUAGUCCCUGUCUCUUAUAC